ACUCAGUUACAGACCCGCCGACCAGUUACAGACGGUUUAGUUACAGCGGACAUUUAACUUCGUCGCAGAAACAGAACAGAAAACAUGGCUAACCCAGAAAGAACAGUUGUUGUAGCUAUGGACGGUAGUGACUACUCUAAUUAUGCAUUUGACUGGUACAUGAAGAAUGCCUACCACAAGGGGGAUCAUGUGAUCUUUGUCCACUGUCCUGAGUACCAUACUGUUGUACAAUCACCCAUGGUGAUGGCCGAUGUGACAGUUCUGACUGACAUGUGGAAGGAAGAGGAGAAGAGGAUCAAGGAACUGUUGGAGAAACUAGGGCAGCAAAUGAAAGACCAUGGGGGUUGUCUCUAAAAAUUGAAGUAGAAGGGAGAAAUAAAAAAGUAGAAGGGGAUCUGGAGGUCUAGCUUAUAGCUAGAUUGUGUUUGAAAUGCAAUAAUAGCCAGAUCGGAGGAAAAGUUAAGAGCAUUGGCGGCAGCCCCGGUGAAGUCAUCUGCCAGGUGGCGAAGGACGAGAAUGCCCAGCUGAUUGUCACGGGAACACGUGGAAUGGGCAAGAUCCGCCGCACCUUCCUGGGGAGCGUUAGCGACUACAUCCUUCACCAUGCCCAUGUACCAGUGCUGGUCUGCAGACACAAGGACGACCACAAGAAUUAGAGAGGUGGCGGUGUAUCCCCACCCCAAAGGCAUCACUCUGACCCUCAGGAUCUACAAAUAAAAUGGAGAAGAAAAAAAUUUCACUAUUGGACUUUUUAUAGAGUAUCUUGUACUCUUGUUUUCUGUUUUUUUCUAGUUUGAUCAAAUUGAUAACCAUAAUAGAAAUUUUUUGUAUGCAAAAAUAUGAUGCAUUUGUUUGUGUAUGAAGCACUUUGUGUGAGAAUGAAGCACUGCUGAUUAUGAUAAAAUCAAUAGCUUCUCAUUUAAAUUGGUAAAGUCUAAUUCUUGGCAUCUUGUGGAAAGCCAGUUAGCAUUGUUAGAAGACCAUGAAUUAAUAUUGUAAAAACCGUGAAAUUUCUUGUUAUGCAUGUAAUAUUUGCUUUAGGAAUCUGUGUUCAAAUUCAGAAAUAAGGAGUAGCUAUUUACAUGUAUAUCUCAUUAAGUUGAUAUUCAGCCUCCUUUUACAAGGAAACAGUUGAGAAAUUGCUGAUUUUUAGAUACUGGCUAUUAAAAGGCAUGGGGGAUGUAUGAGGAAGCAGAAAUAUAUGAUAGGUGAUUUGGUUUCUGUAUGAUGGAACAUCCACCUGAGGGUAGAGGUUAAAGGUUAUAUACAAUGUAGUUCAUACAAAUUAAUGUUGCGAUAAUCGUACUUAUUAAUCAUUUUAAAUCUUCUAUUAAUUCCUGUACAUCAAUUCUAUAUUUUCAAUUUUUUUGAUUCAAUAUGGUAUUUGGAGGAACUAUCUAGAUAUGAGUAUUGUGUAAACAAUUUGUUGUGUAGAGUAGUGAUUCUGUAUGCAUGUAAUGCAUAUUUAGGACAACAAAACCAGACCAAUUUCUAUGUAUUAUAACCAGUAAAUAAAUUUUA
rnacentral:misc_RNA from 1 species